ensembl:snRNA U6 U6 spliceosomal RNA
UGCUCACUCCAGCAGCAAUAUACUAAAAUUGGAAUAAUACAGAGAAGAUUAGCAUGGCCUCUGCCCAAAGAUAACAUGCAAAUUCAUGAAGUGUUCCAUAUUCUU